AUGUCGACAACCGCCGGCAGCACCAAUCUCUAUUUAAGCACCGCAGUGGUCCGACCUGCCCGACGAUCUCCUCGGCCUGGUCCACCUCAGGCUUACCUCCCCGCGCGAUCGUGUGCGCGUCGCCGCCGUUUGCAAGCAGUGGCGAGCCGCCGCGUCGCUGCUCCCGCGGCUGCCGGCCCGCCGCUUCUACUCGUGUCGCCGCGGCGUCUCCAAUUCAGCGGGACGAAGCUCCUGAGCGGCCCCGACGACUGCUGUGCCAUGCACGUCCCAGACAAGGCGGAAGACAAGUGGUUCGUCGGCUCGCACGACGGCGGUUGGGUCGCUGCGAUCGAUGAUCGCACCCUCGUGAUCGUGAACUUCUUCUCCGGUGCGGAGGCGGUGCGCGCUCCGGUAUGCCCACGCAAUCUACGUAGCAUCAAGCCAACCAGCCUCCGGAAAAUCAUCUUCUCCGAAUCCCCCGCCUCUAGCAGCUGCAUCCUCGCCGCCAUCGCUUACACGCGGUCCCAUGUCACGCUGUGCAAAGCUGACCGCCACGAGAGCGGCUGGACAGCAAAACAUAUGCAAGGAAGGAUGGUUGGCGACAUCGCGUUUUGUAACCGCGAGCUCUAUGGCCUCAUUGAUUCUAUCAGGAACAAGACGGCACGCCGGUCAUCACAUCCAGUCACCCCGGCCAUCCAAAGGCGCCACGGUCCCACGAAUAAGGACGAUCCCAUGGCGUACCGUGCCCACAUCUUCGAGCUACACGGCAAGCCAUCAAUGGCCAUACAGACCUGA
rnacentral:rRNA from 1 species